GACGUAGGGCGCGAGCGUUGUCCGGAUUUAUUGGGCGUAAAGAGCUCGUAGGCGGUUUGUCGCGUCUGCUGUGAAAACCGGAGGCUCAACCUCCAGCCUGCAGUGGGUACGGGCAGACUAGAGUGCGGUAGGGGAGAUUGGAAUUCCUGGUGUAGCGGUGGAAUGCGCAGAUAUCAGGAGGAACACCGAUGGCGAAGGCAGAGUCUCUGG
rnacentral:rRNA from 1 species